UCUGCAUCUGUUGUUAAUCAUGACACCACCUACCUCAACAAGAAGCACUCUUGUUUUACUGUUUUGUCUGUUUUUUACAUUUCUACACGUCAACGUUAUUGGUUAUAACGGUCAGAAGUGUAACAGUAAUUUUUACGAGAAGCCCAGUCAGAGAAUCCUAAGAUGUGAACGCUGCAAUCAAGAGUGUUCUGGUUAGUAGUAGCACAACAUUUCCCAGCAUUUGAAUGCUAGUGAGCUUCGAAAAUGAC
rnacentral:lncRNA from 1 species